UAUAAUUUUUGACUAUUCGUCUUAUUAAAAAAUUUUACGAUUGAUAUUUUUGUUUUUAUUAUAUGAUAAAUCAUAAAUAGUAUUUUACGUGUGACUAAUUUUUUUUAAUUUUCUAAAUUUUUUUAAAUAAAGCGGAUGAUCAAACUUUGGACACGGAAACC
rnacentral:pre_miRNA from 1 species